UACGAAGGGGGCGAGCGUUGUUCGGAAUUACUGGGCGUAAAGGGCGCGCAGGCGGCUCAGACAGUCAGAUGUGAAAGCCCCGGGCUUAACCUGGGAACUGCAUUUGAUACUACUGAGCUUGAGUACGGGAGAGGAUAGUGGAAUUCCCAGUGUAGAGGUGAAAUUCGUAGGUAUUGGGAAGAACACCGGUGGCGAAGGCGGCUAUCUGGACCGUAACUGACGCUGAGGCGCGAAAGCGUGGGGAGCAAACAGG
rnacentral:rRNA from 1 species